AUUGAACGCUGGCGACAUGCCUUACACAUGCAAGUCGAACGGCAGCACGGGUGCUUGCACCUGGUGGCGAGUGGCGAACGGGUGAGUAAUACAUCGGAACAUGUCCUGUAGUGGGGGAUAGCCCGGCGAAAGCCGGAUUAAUACCGCAUACGAUCUACGGAUGACAGCGGGGGACCUUCGGGCCUCGCGCUAUAGGGUUGGCCGAUGGCUGAUUAGCUAGUUGGUGGGGUAAAGGCCUACCCAGGCGACGAUCAGUAGCUGGUCUGAGAGGACGACCAGCCACACUGGGACUGAGACACGGCCCAGACUCCUACGGGAGGCAGCAGUGGGGAAUUUUGGACAAUGGGCGAAAGCCUGAUCCAGCAAUGCCGCGUGUGUGAAGAAGGCCUUCGGGUUGUAAAGCACUUUUGUCCGGAAAGAAAUCCUUGGCCCUAAUACGGUCGGGGGAUGACGGUACCGGAAGAAUAAGCACCGGCUAACUACGUG
rnacentral:rRNA from 1 species